AUACGUAGGGGGCAAGCGUUGUCCGGAAUGAUUGGGCGUAAAGGGCGCGUAGGCGGCCCGGUAAGUCUGAAGUGAAAGUCCUGGUUUUAAGUUGGGAAUUGCUUUGGAUACUGUCGGGCUUGAGUGCAGGAGAGGUAAGUGGAAUUCCCAGUGUAGCGGUGAAAUGCGUAGAGAUUGGGAGGAACACCAGUGGCGAAGGCGACUUACUGGACUGUAACUGACGCUGAGGCGCGAAAGUGUGGGGAGCAAACAGGAUUAGAUACCCUGGUAGUCCACACUGUAAACGAUGAAUGCUAGGUGUAGGGGGUAUCGACCCCUUCUGUGCCGCAGUAAACACAAUAAGCAUUCCGCCUGGGGAGUACGGCCGCAAGGUUGAAACUCAAAGGAAUUGGCGGGG
rnacentral:rRNA from 1 species